CAGCCGCCGCGGUAAUACGAAGGGGGCUAGCGUUGUUCGGAAUUACUGGGCGUAAAGCGCGUGUAGGCGGGUCUUUAAGUCAGAGGUGAAAUGCCAAGGCUCAACCUUGGAACUGCCUUUGAUACUGGAGAUCUUGAGUCCGGGAGAGGUGAGUGGAAUUGCGAGUGUAGAGGUGAAAUUCGUAGAUAUUCGCAAGAACACCAGUGGCGAAGGCGGCUCACUGGCCCGGAACUGACGCUGAGACGCGAAAGCGUGGGGAGCAAACAGGAUUAGAUACCCCGGUAGUCCCUGUCUCUUAUAC
rnacentral:rRNA from 1 species